UCCCUCUUAGCUCAGUUGGUAGAGCGCGUCACUAGUAUAGCCGUAUAAGAAGACAUGCUAUGACGAGGUCAGUCGUUCAAGUCGGCUAGAGGGAA
rnacentral:tRNA from 1 species